rnacentral:rRNA from 1 species
AGUGAACGCUGGCGGUAGGCCUAACACAUGCAAGUCGAACGGCAGCACAGUAAGAGCUUGCUCUUACGGGUGGCGAGUGGCGGACGGGUGAGGAAUACAUCGGAAUCUACUUUUUCGUGGGGGAUAACGUAGGGAAACUUACGCUAAUACCGCAUACGACCUACGGGUGAAAGCAAGGGAUCUUCGGACCUUGCGCGAUUGAAUGAGCCGAUGUCGGAUUAGCUAGUUGGCGGGGUAAAGGCCCACCAAGGCGACGAUCCGUAGCUGGUCUGAGAGGAUGAUCAGCCACACUGGAACUGAGACACGGUCCAGACUCCUACGGGAGGCAGCAGUGGGAAAUAUUGGACAAUGAGCGCAAGCCUGAUCCAGCCAUACCGCGUAGGUGAAGAAGGCCUUCGGGUUGUAAAGCCCUUUUGUUGGGAAAGAAAAGCAGCAGGUUAAUACCCCGCUGUUCUGACGGUACCCAAAGAAUAAGCACCGGCUAACUUCGUG